rnacentral:rRNA from 1 species
AGGGUUUGAUCAUGGCUCAGGAUGAACGCUGGCGGCGUGCUUAACACAUGCAAGUCGAACGGGAAUGCUUCGCUGAUGCGAUUUCGGUCAAAUCUUGAAGCAUUUUAGUGGCGGACGGGUGAGUAACGCGUGGGUAACCUGCCCUGUACAGGGGGACAACAGUUGGAAACGACUGCUAAUACCGCAUAAGCGCACAGCUUCGCAUGAAGCAGUGUGAAAAACUCCGGUGGUACAGGAUGGACCCGCGUCUGAUUAGAUAGUUGGUGAGGUAACGGCCCACCAAGUCAACGAUCAGUAGCCGGCCUGAGAGGGCGAACGGCCACAUUGGGACUGAGACACGGCCCAA